GAAGCAUACUUGACAACUGAAAAGAUUAAAGAAAUUUUCAAAGGAAAAAAAUGCCAACAUUUUAUCCAGAGAGAUAACAUUUAUCUUAGACACUACAAUUUGCAGUAUAUUUAAAAACACCUGGUUUCGCUAUCUAAAAGUGAGGUGGAAAUGAUACCAUUUGUAAAGGACUUAAAUUUUUAAUUAAUCUUGAUUCUACCUGUGGUUGGAAAUCACAUCAAUAAGGCACUCCCACAGUUUCAAGCCCCAUGCCUUCACACAACAGAUAAGGAUCUGUUCUUUUGAAAGACCUUCAGGAAGACCUUCAGGAAUAAAAAUCCUACACCCUCCUUUGGCCUGUUAAAUAAGGCAUAUAAAAGAAUUCACAUUAUGAAAAAUAUUUUCCUAAAUAAAAUUUUGUUUAAUGAGAAAAUCUGCAUUCUUUACUUAUUCACUGAUAUUCAUGAAAUUAAGUUGUCCAAAGUGAAAAAUCUCAAUCAGAAAUGUUGUCAUUCAUCAAGAAAUAAAACCAAAGAGGGGCGCCUGGGUGGCUCAGUCGGUUAAGUGGCCGACUUCAGCUCAGGUCAUGAUCUCUCGGUCCCUGAGUUAAAGCCCCACGUCGGGCUCUGUGCUGACAGCUCAGAGCCUGGAGCCUGUUUCAUAUCCUGUGUCUCUCUCUCUCUGACCACCCACCCGCCCCAUUCAUGCUCUGUCUCUCCCUGUCUCAAAAAUAAAUAAAACGUUAAAAAAAAUUAAAUGUUUAAAAAAAAAGAAAUAAAACCAAAGAAGCCUAAAGGUAGAGAAUGCCACAAUUAAAAAAGAAACACUUCUGAAAAUGAUUCAUGUCACCGACGAUGGGAAACAGCAAUCCAUAGCUUCUAGCAAAGUCUGUGAGUUUAAACUGAAAGUUAAUAAAGAGAGAAAUGAACAAAGAAGUGUUCAUAGACUGUAUUAAAAUGCCAUUUUCUCCAGUGAGAACACAGAGGUUUUAUUGUAUAGAUGAGAAUAUGGCUUAUAAAUCCAAUUUUCUCAGAGCUGCUAACAUACAAACAUAUAUAUAUAUAUAUAUAUGUAUACACACACACAUAUAUAUACACACAUAUACAUACACAUAUAUACACACACAUAUAUAUGCACUAUAUAUAUAUAUAUAUAUAUAGUGUGUGUGUGUGUGUGUAACACUAAUAUAUUAUUAUAACCAGACAAUGUCUGUCCUUAAUAUGUUAUUUAGUGUCAGCUAAAUGGCUACUCUAACCAAGAUAUUGCCCUUCCCUGUGUUUUUCAUAUAUUGUUAAAAAAUAAGGGAAACACUAAAUAUGAUUUUGGAAAUAAUUUUUUCCAGUGUAUCCAAUACUACCACCUCAAGGAAAGUGCCUUCGCUGCUAUACUCAAAAAGAUAAGUAGAUGUCACCAUUGUUCUUUUCUUCUUCUUCUUCUUUUUUUUUUUUUUUUUCUUUCCCUGAAGCUCACCUUGAAUGUGGUGCCUGAUUUAAUGAAAUUCUUUUCUAAUACAUUAUCCAAGGCUGGAUCCAGCUCCUCACGAAUAUCCUCAAUGAGAAGGGGUCGGCCCAAGGAAAGGCUGUCUUCCAAGUGUGUGCGGAAAUAUUUAUGGUUCAGAGAUGUUACCUAGAAAUAGAGUUCAUUACUACAUAAAUGUUACAAAGAAUGUGCUUAUUCCUAAUGGAAACAAAGAGAUUUGCUGGACAAGUGACUAAGAAUUUUAAGGGCUAUAUAGGAAGCCUUACUUAGGAAAAAUAAAAGUAAGAACAUUUAAUUUUCAAA
rnacentral:lncRNA from 1 species